rnacentral:rRNA from 1 species
GAUGAACGCUAGCGGCAGGCUUAACACAUGCAAGUCGAGCGAGAUGCUUCUGACGGACUCUUCGGAUGACGGAUGAAGCGGAAAGCGGCGGACGGGUGAGUAACGCGUAGGCAACCUGCCUCUCACAGAGGGAUAGCCACUGGAAACGGUGAUUAAAACCUCAUAACGCCAUUUUGAGACAUCUCAGAAUGGCCAAAGAUUUAUCGGUGAGAGAUGGGCCUGCGUCUGAUUAGCUAGUUGGCGGGGUAACGGCCCACCAAGGCGACGAUCGGUAGCCGACCUGAGAGGGCGAUCGGCCACAUUGGAACUGAGACACGGUCCAA